CUCAACCCGGAGGACGGAGCUGGAUCGUCGGACUCCGUAAUGCAACGGCACUGGGACUGCAUUUGGACCGGAUCAUUUACUAGACACUGGAAUACGAACUUUCAGCAGCAACAGUCGAACUGAUCAACCUGACCUGCUGCUGAUUGAUGGAGCCCACUGACGUCACUGUCUCUCCAUUCAAACUCCGCACGCAGACUGAAAGUGUUUCAUUCCAAACACAGUCUGGGAGGGUGGUCCAGGACCGCAGCCUCUGUAGACCAGCAGUAGACCCAGAGGACCAGGACCAGCAGGGGGGGCAUGUGGUCCAGGAUUUGACCCAUCAGGCUCUUCUAG